UACGGCCAUAUCAUGUUGAAACACCGGUUCCCGUAAGAUCACCGAAGUUAAGCAACGUCGAGCAUGGUCAGUACCAAGAGGGAUGACUGCUUGUGAAUACCAUGUACUGUAAG